GCAACGUGAAUCGAGGAGUCACGCAACCCCAAAUCCUCUCACUCUUCUCUGACUAUCUUUGGGCCUGGAACUUACUCCGUCGCCGGAACGCCGCCAACCACCGCAAUGUCUCCCUCGUGAUUUGCAACACCGCCGACCGCCGUCCGUCGCAGAGCCGUUCUUGUCGGGAUUCGCAGUGACCAUCACAGCGCCCUCCUCGUUGCGAUUUGCAGCCUACCACCAUAUCGCCACCACUGCCGCAGCCCUUUCACACACGAUCCGCCACCACCACCGCAACUCUCCUCUCCUCACGAUUUGCAAUUUACCGCCGCAGCCCCUCUUCCCCACCACCGCCGCAGCCCUUUUUCUCGCGAUUCACAGAUCACCUUCUCUUCCCGUCGCAUGCCCACCAACACGGGAGGAAGUUCAUUCAAAAGGUCCAACAACGCCAAAUUGAGUACAUGAACAGGAGCAUCCUCCAUCCACACAGAAUUUGGAUUGAUUAGAAUAAGGAAAUUUUGAAGGAGGAUGAUAAAAAAGCACAGGUCCAAAUAGAUGUGUCUUUAAUAGUUAUAGGAUUACUAUAACCAAAUAGAUGUAACAAACAAUAAAACUUAUAUUGAUGUUAAUAUGUUUACAGAGAAAUUGAGUAGCUUGAAAAAAUG